UAGUCCACGCCGUAAACGAUGCUAACUCGGUGCUUGUCUACUUGAAGAUGAGUGCCAAAGCGAAAGUAUUAAGUUAGCCACCUGGGGAGUACGCUGGCAAUAGUGAAACUCAAAGGAAUUGACGGGGGCUCACACAAGCGGUGGAGGAUGUGGCUUAAUUCGAGGCUACGCGAAGAACCUUAUCCUGGUCUUGACAUGUUUAGGAAUUCUCGUGAAAGCGAGAAGUGCCUUUCGGGGAGCCUUUUCACAGGUGCUGCAUGGCUGUCGUCAGCUCGUGUCGUGAGAUGUCGGGUUAAGUCCCUUAACGAGCGAAAACCCUUUAUCCCUUAGGUUGCCAGCGAGUAAUGUCGGGGACUCUAGGGAGACUGCCGGUGUGAAACCGGGNGGAAGGUGGGGAUGACGUCAAGUCCUCAUGGCCUUUAUGGACCAGGGGCUGCA
rnacentral:rRNA from 1 species